CAGAGCCUAAAAACUCUCAAACCCACUGUUAAUUAUACCUUUUUGUUGCUUUGGCGGGCAGUCCCAGGGCGGGGCCUUGCCUGUAUUUUUACAGGUGUCCGCCGAAAGCACUCCUAAAAUUCUUUUUUUAUGGCUGUCUGAGUUUUUAAAAAAAAAUAAGUCA
rnacentral:misc_RNA from 1 species